AUUGAACGCUGGCGGCAGGCCUAACACAUGCAAGUCGAGCGGCAGCGGAAAGUAGCUUGCUACUUUGCCGGCGAGCGGCGGACGGGUGAGUAAUGUCUGGGAAACUGCCUGAUGGAGGGGGAUAACUACUGGAAACGGUAGCUAAUACCGCAUAACGUCGCAAGAUCAAAGAGGGGGACCUUCGGGCCUCUUGCCAUCAGAUGUGCCCAGAUGGGAUUAGCUAGUAGGUGGGGUAACGGCUCACCUAGGCGACGAUCCCUAGCUGGUCUGAGAGGAUGACCAGCCACACUGGAACUGAGACACGGUCCAGACUCCUACGGGAGGCAGCAGUGGGGAAUAUUGCACAAUGGGCGCAAGCCUGAUGCAGCCAUGCCGCGUGUAUGAAGAAGGCCUUCGGGUUGUAAAGUACUUUCAGCGGGGAGGAAGGUGUUGAGGUUAAUAACCUCAGCAAUUGACGUUACCCGCAGAAGAAGCACCGGCUAACUCCGUG
rnacentral:rRNA from 1 species